AGCUACCGCCUACUCCCGGCCAAGAGCUUAGACGUCAUCAGACAGCGACCGCCCAGGACCAAUCAGAAUGUCAGCUGGGAACGCCGCCUGCGCCACGUGAUCCUGGAACCCCACCUCUCCAAGAACCCCCUUUUAGUUUUGAGACCCCAAGAUUUUCCCAACCCUCAGCAACAAUCUGAGCAUGAUAUGGCCUGAAUAUAUUUCUACACUUAGAGGACUUCACAUUCUUUCAGGGUAGCACUCAGCCGCCCACCUGCCCUAGCCUGUUACAGACUGUUAGCCCAACAUUAUCAACCUCAGAAGGACUUCAGGGUGAGAAGGAACGGCCUGCAGAAGCCUGGCCUCAAACUGUGUUGACCACCCACACUGUUGCCCACAGGGGCCUGGACUCCACCGAGGGGAGAUGGGAGACUGCGCUUUUGAAUCACACACCUGCU